rnacentral:rRNA from 1 species
GUAGCGAAAUUCCUUGUCGGGUAAGUUCCGACCUGCACGAAUGGCAUAAUGAUGGCGGCGCUGUCUCCAGCAGAGACUCAGUGAAAUCGAAAUCGCAGUGAAGAUGCUGUGUACCCGCGGCUAGACGGAAAGACCCCGUGAACCUUUACUACAGCUUUACAUUGAACUUUGACCUUACCUGUGUAGGAUAGGUGGGAGGCUUUGAAGCAGGCACGCCAGUGUCUGUGGAGCCAUCCUUGAAAUACCACCCUGGUAAUGUUGGGGUUCUAACUCAAGCUUAACAGAGCUGAGGACAAUGUAUGGUGGGUAGUUUGACUGGGGCGGUCUCCUCCUAAAGAGUAACGGAGGAGUACGAAGGUGCGCUCAGAACGGUCGGAAAUCGUUCGAAGAGUAUAAAGGCAAAAGCGCGCUUAACUGCGAGACCCACAAGUCGAGCAGAUACGAAAGUAGGUCUUAGUGAUCCGGUGGUUCUGUAUGGAAGGGCCAUCGCUCAACGGAUAAAAGGUACUCCGGGGAUAACAGGCUGAUACCGCCCAAGAGUUCAUAUCGACGGCGGUGUUUGGCACCUCGAUGUCGGCUCAUCUCAUCCUGGGGCUGAAGCAGGUCCCAAGGGUAUGGCUGUUCGCCAUUUAAAGAGGUACGCGAGCUGGGUUUAGAACGUCGUGAGACAGUUCGGUCCCUAUCUACCGUGGGCGUUGGAAAUUUGAGAGGAUCUGCUCCUAGUACGAGAGGACCAGAGUGGACGAACCUCUGGUGUUCCGGUUGUCACGCCAGUGGCAUUGCCGAGUAGCUAUGUUCGGAUGGGAUAACCGCUGAAAGCAUCUAAGCGGGAAGCCCACCUUAAGAUUAGAUUUCCCUAAAGAGCCGUUGUAGACUACGACGUUGAUAGGUUGGGUGUGGAAGCAUAGUGAUAUGUGUAGCUAACCAAUACUAAUUGCUCGUUUGGCUUGAC